CCAAUAGCGUAUAUUAAAGUUGUUGCAGUUAAAAAGCUCGUAGUUGAAUUUCGGGAUUGACACAUCGGUCGUGCCUUAAGGGGUAUGAACUGGUGUAGUCAAUUUCUCACCUUCUGGAGAACCGCGAUGCCCUUAAUUGGGUGUCGCGGGGAACCAGGACCUUUACUUUGAAAAAAUUAGAGUGUUUAAAGCAGGCAUUUUGCUUGAAUACAUUAGCAUGGAAUAAUAAAAUAGGACGGCAUGAUUCUAUUUUGUUGGUUUCUAGGAUCACCGUAAUGAUUAAUAGUGAUAGUUGGGGGCAUUAGUAUUCAAUUGUCAGAGGUGAAAUUCUUGGAUUUAUUGAAGACUAACUACUGCGAAAGCAUUUGCCAAGGAUGUUUUCAUUAAUCAAGAACGAAAGUUAGGGGAUCGAAGACGAUCAGAUACCGUCGUAGUCUUAACCAUAAACUAUGCCGACUAGGAAUCAGACGAUGUUAAUUUUUUAAUGACUCGUUUGGCACCUUACG
rnacentral:rRNA from 1 species